UCUUCAAGAGCGAACUCGUGGGCGGCCAAAGAGCGAUGCCACGUCCGCAGAUUUUACUGUCGCGGUUUUACAAUGCGAGGAAAGACAAAAGCAAAAGGCUCGCGCUCUCGCACCCAGCUACUCUUUCGUUUUCUCCUCCCAGCUAGGGUUCCCUCCGCCGCCGCUGCCGCCGGUGCUUCAUCUUCUGUCCUGAGCUCCACCCCAUCCAGCCUUUCUUUUCCUCUCUCGCCUCUCCUCUCUCGCCUCUCCGCUAGGGUUGCCGCCCCCACCAUCCACGCUCCUCAACCGGGGAUGGGGCAGGAGAAGCGUCGCUGGUGCUGAAUUGGUGAUGGCCUCCUCGUCGACUGCGGCGGCGCAUACGCGUUGAGGGGCAGGGCCAACCCACUGGCCGAGCUGACCGACCGCUUCAGGUCGCUGGAGGCCGGGGUGCCAGAGGUAUUCUCCGGCUUUCGCCUGCGUUCAUCGUCCGUCAGGUCCUCGCCUCACCGUCUGAUCCACCAUAACCCAUCCUCUCCUGCUCACCUCACCUUCUCUUCCUCGGCUUCUUCGACCUGGGGCUCCCUCGACGGAGGGACGCAUCCUUCGUGUGUUGCGUGCUCCAUGUCGACGUCAUGUACAUCCUCUCCUCCAUGUGCCUUUGCUCGUCCUUGAUGCAACUCUUCAGUGAGUUUCCCCUCCUCAAUACAUUGGCAACUCAAAAUCCCCAAACCUGGGUGAUGAACUUCUGCUUAUCUUUACUGUUCAUUCCUUCUGCACUACAUUAACAACUGAUGACCUCAACUAUUUUUUUGACCUUGCAUAACUCUCUGCCAUUAUCCUAGAGUUGGAAGGUCCAAGUAAUAAUUCCUUUUGUUUUGACAUGCUAGAUCACGGUCCUUUGUUGCCUAGUUUUGGUUUUAGUGCAUGACUUUUGACUUUUCGGAUUGUGGAGUUGAUCUCUGUUUUGCUAACAGUUCACACUGAAACAACUGAAAAGUAGCUAAGCAGCCAAUCAAUAUUCAAUAGUAAAACAUUGCAUCAAUUUAUCUAUCUGGUAUUUGGCAUGUCAUAUGUCCUUAUUCAUGUUAUUAAUGUGGAAAACAUUAUGACAUACUGGCUGGUCCUGCAAGCACCCUUAUAAUAAGUCCAUGCAUCAUCGUGUUGAAAAUAUUAUAAUUUCUUGCCUCAAGGUUAAAACAACGCAACUGGGUGACCAUGUUUUUAAUGACUAGUCGUGGUAAAACUCUUGGUGCAAGAAGUUCUGUUUAUCACUACUUCAUCUCCAUUUAUUUAGCAGGUUCUACGAUUUCCCGUGUUGCUGCAUCUUAUUCUCCUGCUUUGCUAAAUUCUGUUCUCCUCCUCUAGGUUUGCUUUCUUUCCAUCUAGAUGCAUGUUUUCCUUUUGCUCAUGGAAUAGUUUAGUUAUAUUGUUCAGUAGCAUAUCUAUAUUAUUAAUACUAUCAAUGAGUUUGUACUUAUGUUUGGUGGUGUUCUUGGGGCCGAGGUUCAUUAUAAUAUUGGACUGUUGGUCUUGAUUCUUAAUGUACGCUUUGGAUAAAUCCGCUUUUUAUAAAAGCAGGGCAGUAUGCCUUUCUCUAAAAAAAUGUGUACAUUGUAUCCUUGCUUUAUAUCAGUGAAAUUUUUUGUUAGCUUUAAAAUUGUAUACAUUGAUUCCUAAUUGGAUGCAAGUAUCCAACGUGAAUGGAAGUUGGUGACUUGUUUUAUGUGAUUUUGCUCGGGUCUUGGAAGAAUCAGGCUAAGGAGUGAUUGUAGUGACAACUGAAUGGUGAUGAAGCAAAGUUUGGUAGGUUGCAAAUGCAGGUUAUUUUCAAAUCUGAAACUUCAUUUUGUACAAUGCUAAUAAGAUCUGGACAAUUUUAAGUAGCAUAUGAGUCCAAACAAUCUUGGACUCACCAUAGAUCCGUGGGGAGAACUCCUUUGCUUCUAGAGAAUUAAGUUGGUGAUGUUUAUGAUUGGUAAUUGCUAAGGGUCAUUGUUCCCAAAUUUGCAUUGAAGAAUUAGUCAUUUGCAGUUAUUUACGUAACCAUAGCCACCUUUAUUUUUCUGAUCAUCUUUCUUCGAGUGCAGCUAAGAUGGAAAUACAAAUUGAUGUUGUUGAUGGCCCACACAGUUUCUUCCCAGUUCAGCCAAGGUGAUAACCGAAUUCUUUUAUGUUGUACAGAUUCAGUAUUGACAUAUAUUUUCAUGACCGCAAAGAUAGUUCCCUUUAGUGUCGUGUUCUAUAUGAGUGAUGUUCAAAAUUAAUUACAAGUGAAAAAUUUGUUGCCGUUGAAACACAAUGUUUUUCCCUNNNNNNNNNNNNNNNNNNNNNNNNNNNNNNNNNNNNNNNNNNNNNNNNNNNNNNNNNNNNNNNNNNNNNNNNNNNNNNNNNNNNNNNNNNNNNNNNNNNNNNNNNNNNNNNNNNNNNNNNNNNNNNNNNNNNNNNNNNNNNNNNNNNNNNNNNNNNUUCCCUACAUUGUGAUAAUUAAUUUAUAGCCACAUUCAACAUCGCAUAUAGUACAUCGUAAGUUGUCCUCAAUCAGAUAAUCACCACUAUUUUAAUUUUAGUUGCAGCUUUCUGAAAUAAUUUGUGUCAUCUCACUGGAUGUUAAAAAACAAAGGGUACCUCACGUACAACCAUAGAACUGCUAAGUAACACAGCCCGUUCAAAGGAAAAAAAAUCGGGAGCUACAUGCACCGGGCUGCCCUUUUUUAUUUUAUUUUGAAUGGCAUUAUGUCGGGAGAGUAGCCCACCGUAAAUUUCUCAUAUUGAUCCAGAGUCAUCAAUCCUUCCCAAGGUGAUUUCUGUCUAAUCUUGGUUUAGUGUGUUCGCUUCGCAGCAAUGUCAGCAUGGGACCACAAUUGUAAAUAAUUUGAAUGACUUCAAUUUUCCAAGUCAUGUUUAAGUUAGGUCACCAGUUACACAAUCAAGCAACUGAGGGUUACUUCGGCUUGUGCAUACCUCUGGAUUUGCUUUUCUAGAUUCACUUGAUACCUAAUGGAUCCAACGUUUUUUCUGUUGACGGUUGUCGUCUGCUCGUGCUCUCUACUAUCGGACUGCUAGGAUCACCGUUCUUGUGGUUGUAUCGACAGUUCUGAUUUUUGUGGACGGUCCCAUCGCAGGUGCUUUUCUUCUCUCAUUCCUUUAUUUAUGCCUUUCCAUGUACAUGUUCUAAUUCAAAAUUGAUCUUCUAGGCAUGGGUUGUGGCUUACCAAGUCUAAUGUUUGUGUUGGGUUUUCCUUUUUUUUUUGUGGAGUUGGUCAGUUCAUUUGAAGCAAAAGAAUGGCAUGCAUUACCUUGCAUUGACAGUGUGAUUAAUCAUGCAACAUGAGUUAUUACAUAUUGUUGUGUAACGUACAAAAUGCCAGAUUCACUUAUUCAGCAUGUACCUAUAUUGCUCCUCUUCUGUAGUAAACCUUCUGGUUAAGUUUUGCAAUCAUCACCUCAUGUUAUACCUUGAAUAUUGUAUGUGCUCGAUCAAAUUGGAUGAAUCUCUAGACACCAUAGGCAUCUUAGAAUUGACAAUAUUGUGCAUGACUACAGGUUGUUGCGAAAAUGUUCUUGAACUAAUGCUAGCUCCAUCUGUUUUUUGUUUCCAUGUAAUUGAAAUGAGCUCUUUUCGAGCUUUGUUGUUCAGGCAUUUAGCAUUGGUUGUGUUUUUCUGUGGCUUGGCAGAGGUGUCGGUAUUGGUGGUCGAGCCACUAAUGCAGAACAUUAAUAGAGAGAUUUGUUGGCUGGACAUUGGCAUCCUCGUCAUGUCCAACUUCAG
rnacentral:lncRNA from 1 species